rnacentral:misc_RNA from 1 species
UUCAGCUGGAGUGAUUGCAAUUAGUCCUAUUUGCAAGGAGUCUAUGGUGAUUCCUCCACAUUUUUUACAUAGCCAAGAAUCUAUUUUGAUUUACGUGGCUAUGUCAGGGUCAAUGGUACCAAUGAGGGUUUUGGAAUACGAUUCAAUUGACUCGGUGAAGCUUCAGAUUCAAACCUGUAAAGGGUUUGUUGUGAAAAAUCAAAAAUUGGUAUGUGGGGGACGAGAAUUGGCUCGAAGCAAUUCCCUUAUUAAGGAUUAUGGAGUUGGUGAUGGCAAUAUUCUUCAUUUGGUCCUUAAGUUAUCAGAUCUUCAGGUUAUCAAUGUGAAAACUGCUUCUGGUGAAGAGUUCACCUUUAAUGUGGAAAGGAGCAGGGAUGUUGGAUACGUAAAGCGUCAAAUUGCUAAAAAGAAGGGUGCUUUAGUAGAUAGUGAUGAACAAGAAGUGCUUUGCAAUGGUGAGAGACUUGAGGAUCAGAGGCUUAUACAUGAUAUCUGCAAGAACAAUGAUGCUGUGAUUCAUUUGUUUGUGAGAAAAUCUGCAAAAAUUAGAGCUAGACCAGUGGAGAGGAAUUUUGAGUUGUCUAUUGUGGCACCACAACUGAAUGACAAGGUAACAGAGAACAGGAGUGGGAGUGAAGUAGAUAAUAAGCUUUUGGUCUCUAGGGAGCCACCUGAUAGGGCUAGUAUUUUGGAACCUAUUAUUGUUAACCCGAAGAUUGAAGUGCCUUUGGUGAUUAGUGAUUUGAUUGGUUCUACACUUGAAGGGUUAGAUAGAGGGCAUUAUCCUAUUAGAUCAUCCGAAGGCACAGGAGGAGCAUACUUUAUGCUUGAUGCUACAGGGAGUAAGAAGAUUUCGGUGUUUAAACCAAUUGACGAGGAGCCUAUGGCUGUGAAUAACCCACGAGGGCUGCCUUUGUCAGUUGAUGGUGAAGGCUUGAAGAAAGGAACAAGAGUUGGAGAAGGUGCUCUAAGGGAGUGUGCUGCCUACCUUUUGGAUCAUCCAAAAAAUGGUAGGCGUUCAUUUUCUGGUGAGGCACUGGGCUUUGCUGGUGUUCCACCAACUGCCAUUGUGAAGUGUUUACAUAGUGGAUUCAAUCACCCAGACGGUAUCACUCCUAAGAUUGGGUCCUUGCAACAGUUCAUGGACAACAACGGAAGUUGUGAGGAUAUGGGACCUAAUGCUUUUCCUGUGGGGGAAGUGCAUAAGAUUGCAGUGCUUGAUAUGAGGAUGGCGAAUGCAGAUAGGCAUUCCGGGAAUAUAU